GCUUGUCUCAAAGAUUAAGCCAUGCAUGUCUAAGUAUAAACGACUUUAUACUGUGAAACUGCGAAUGGCUCAUUAUAUCAGUUAUAGUUUAUUUGAUGGUCCUUGCUACUUGGAUAACCGUAGUAAUUCUAGAGCUAAUACAUGCAUCAAGCCCCGACUUCUGGAAGGGGUGUAUUUAUUAGAUGGAAACCAAUGCCCUCCGGGGCUCCUUGGUGAUUCAUAAUAACUUAACGAAUCGCAUGGCCUUGCGCCGGCGAUGGUUCAUUCAAAUUUCUGCCCUAUCAACUUUCGAUGGUAAGAUAGUGGCUUACCAUGGUCUCAACGGGUAACGGGGAAUUAGGGUUCUAUUCCGGAGAGGGAGCCUGAGAAACGGCUACCACAUCCAAGGAAGGCAGCAGG
rnacentral:rRNA from 1 species